GGAGAGGUGGCCGAGCGGUUUAAGGCACCGGUCUUGAAAACCGGCAAAGACGCGAGUCUUUCAAGGGUUCGAAUCCCUUCCUCUCCGCCA
rnacentral:tRNA from 1 species